AUAAUUUAGUCAGACACUAAAUAAACCAAAAUGAAACAAACUUUUUGAUUGGUUUUUAAGGAAGCACGUUGAUAUUCUGGCGCGAUCUUUCGGUGGUAGCCAUAUUGCUUAUAGGAAAACCGAUAUAAGAGUCUCAGAUAUGGCAAGGGUAGUGAAGAUAUGGAGGAUAGGCAAUACACGUCCGAUCUGUGAUAUUCCCAAAGGACGCACCAAACCUAUAACGGACAUUUUGCUCAUAAAGGGAUAUUUAGAAAUUCCUCUGGAAUUUCUAUUCGGGAGGAAAAUUAUUCAUUAAUUGUAAAUUUGGCGUAAUUGGAUGAUCGAGAGGACAGUUAUUGAACUAUGAUGAAGAUAAAGAAAAAUCGAAGCUAACGUCUAAUACUAACGCUGAAUAUGUAGAAGGGUCACUGAAUUACUUUUAACUCAUCCUUCCAACGCUUGAUACAUUGCAAUAUUUGUGAUCUUAUUAAUAAAAUGAUUUGUUUGCAGUUGAA